AACCCACCCGUUAUCACCGAAAAUGCUGGCCUCUUACCCCAGCUUCAACCGCAGCCCCCCCACGCCCCCAAAAUCGUAAAACUAAACUUAAACUCUUCCAUACUCCAGGCAUGUUGUGCUCUGGGCAUUGGCGGGCCACUGUCCUGCCUGUUUUCCACCUCUCCUGGCUGCAACACACCUAAUUUAGAUAAUCAGCUCAUCAGCCAGCUCUGAAGCAGCAUUAAAACGAUCCUGAUUAUUUGAAUUGUGUGCUGCCCCUGGCAGAACUGGAAAAGGGCCGGACGGAGACUCUUAAUGACAGUUUGGACACCCCUGCCCUACCCUGAACGCUAAUCCCAACCUAAACCAUUACCCCCUACCCGAAACUAACAACCCCGAACCACCCAAUCUCUAUAAUCCUAAAACCAGAUUAAGACCCAACUUCUUAUUGCCAGUGAAUUAAGUGACACUAAUGCCUAACUGCUGUCAGUUUAUGCAAUUUGGUUUUAUUUCAUUGGGACAGUGCACAUAAAUCAACAAAUUGAGGAAUAAGCGGUGAAACUGGGUAAUCUUUUACAAGUGAACCCAGUCCGCAAAACCUGCAAACAAAAUUUUCCAAUAUAAAAUAUGGACAAAUGGAAGCUGUACCACCCCAAGUGACACAUUCAUCAGAAGUCAUUUGAAUGCUGAUGGAAUUACACGAAGACUCAAGUGUUCAACCAUUGGAGAAGUGAGGAUGACAGAUGUGGAAAAAGAAGAUCAAGACUCUCAUCCAGGCCAAAACUGGACUUGACUGCAUAAAGCCAAAGUUGUCUCUCACAAACGAUCCAUACGAGUUGUCUUUUUUUUUCACUUCCAAGUGUGCCGAAUUGUUUACAUUAAAAAGACAUUGAUGGAAA